GGCAUUCAAUUUUGUAUUCGCAGCAAUUCUAUGAGCGUCUCCUAAUCUCAGCAGCUCGACAAAACUUUGCUGGUCCCUGAUUUCUACAAUAGUUGCCCCAGGCAGCGAAACAUCACCAGUUUUUGAAUCCUCCACUAUGGUAAUAUUAUCAUUACCUGGAUCAAGGAGGUCCUGGAUCGUCUCCAUAUAAAGCUGCAAAUAUGAGACU
rnacentral:misc_RNA from 1 species